GGUCAAGCGAACAAGGGCGCAGGGCGAAUGCCUUGGCACUGGGAGCCGAUGAAAGACGUGAUAAGCUGCGAAAAGCUUCGGGGAGCUGCAAAUAAGCAUUGAUCCGGAGAUUUCUGAAUGA
rfam:Faecalibacterium prausnitzii A2-165 genomic scaffold Scfld13, whole genome shotgun sequence.